GUGCAAUCCGCUAACCGGUCAGGCCGUGUCGCGGAAGGUUAGAUUAACCCGCUAAUCUCGCGAAGCGCGAAGAAAGGUGAGCA
rfam:Massilia sp. Root351 contig_2, whole genome shotgun sequence.